rnacentral:rRNA from 1 species
GAUGAACGCUGGCGGCGUGCUUAACACAUGCAAGUCGAACGAUGAAGCCGGAGCUUGCUCCGGUGGAUUAGUGGCGAACGGGUGAGUAACACGUGAGUAACCUGCCCUUGACUCUGGGAUAACUGCGGGAAACUGUAGCUAAUACCGGAUACGACCCUCGGCGGCAUCGCCAGGGGGUGGAAAGAAUUUCGGUCAAGGAUGGACUCGCGGCCUAUCAGCCAGUUGGUGAGGUAACGGCUCACCAAGGCGACGACGGGUAGCCGGCCUGAGAGGGUGACCGGCCACACUGGGACUGAGACACGGCCCAGACUCCUACGGGAGGCAGCGGUGGGGAAUAUUGCACAAUGGGCGCAAGCCUGAUGCAGCAACGCCGCGUGAGGGAUGACGGCCUUCGGGUUGUAAACCUCUUUUAGCAGGGAAGAAGCGAAAGUGACGGUACCUGCAGAAAAAGCACCGGCUAACUACGUGCCAGCCGCCGCCGUAA